GGAGGGUGCAAGCGUUGUUCGGAAUUAUUGGGCGUAAAGCGGGUGUAGGCGGCUUGGCAAGUCAGAUGUGAAAUCCCUGGGCCCAACCCAGGAACUGCAUCUGAAACUGCCUCGCUAGAGUCCCGGAGAGGGUGGCGGAAUUCCCGGUGUAGAGGUGAAAUUCGUAGAUAUCGGGAGGAACACCAGUGGCGAAGGCGGCCACCUGGACGGUGACUGACGCUCAGACCCGAAAGCGUGGGGAGCAAACAGGGAUUAGAUACCCUGGUAGUCCACGCCGUAAACGUUGGGUGCUCGUCGUAGCGGGUAUUGACCCCUGCUGUGACCAAGCUAACGCAAGAAGCACCCCGCCUGGGGAGUACGGUCGCAAGACUA
rnacentral:rRNA from 1 species